rnacentral:rRNA from 1 species
CUCGCUGGCUUUGGAGUGAGGGCAACACCCGUUCCCAUCCCGAACACGGAAGUUAAGACUCACAUCGCCGAUGGUACUUGGGUGCUUGCGCCCCGGAAGAGUAGGACGCCAGCGAGU